rnacentral:tRNA from 1 species
GGCCUCGCAGCUCAGCUGGUAGAGCGUGCGCUUACAACGAGUAGGAGGCGUCCAUGCGUGGGUUCGAAUCUCACCGCGGCUA